GAUGAACGCUGGCGGCGUGCCUAAUACAUGCAAGUCGAACGAACGGACGAUAAGCUUGCUGCUUUGUUGUUAGCCGCGGACGUGAGAGUAACGCGUGUAUAACCUACCUAUAAUACUGGUAUAACUUCGGGAAACCGGAUCUUAUCCCGGAGAAUAUUUUGAAGCGCGUGGGUCGAUGGUGAGAUACGGUCGUGCGGUCACUUAUAGAUGCAUCCGCGCUGCAUUAGCUAGUUGGUAAGGUAACGGCUUACCAAGGCAACGAUGCAUAGCCGAACUGAGAGGGGGAUCGCCCACCCUGGAGCUGGGACAGGGUCAAGACUCCUACGGGAGGCAGCAGUCGGGAAUCUUACGCAAUGGGCGAAAGCCUGACGGAGCAAGGCGGCGCGAGUGAUGACGGUGUUGGGAUCGUAAAACUCUGUUAUUAGGGAAGAACAUAUGUGUACGUAACUGUGCCCAUCGUGACGGUAACUAAUAAGAAAGCCCCGGCUAACUACGUG
rnacentral:rRNA from 1 species